UACGUAGGGUGCAAGCGUUGUCCGGAAUUAUUGGGCGUAAAGAGCUCGUAGGCGGUCUGUCACGUCGGCUGUGAAAUCCCGAGGCUCAACCUCGGGUCUGCAGUCGAUACGGGCAAACUAGAGUAUUGCAGGGGAGACUGGAAUUCCUGGUGUAGCGGUGAAAUGCGCAGAUAUCAGGAGGAACACCAGUGGCGAAGGCGACUGCCUGGACGGCACCUGACGCUGAGGCGCGAAAGCUAGGGGAGCAAACGGG
rnacentral:rRNA from 1 species